UCCGAAUGUCCCAAGGGUUGAUUCUGAGGCAGGAGUGCUGUUUUGGGCAUUUGCCAUUCCAUGAGUCUGCUGUGUGUCCUGCUUCCCCUGCAGGAUCAUACUCUCCCUUUUAAUUCUAUCCUUCAUUGUUUGCUUACACUGGUCUUAUUUGUGAAAUUUCUUCAACACUUACCCUAUCUUUUUGGUCGGUUGUGUAUUUAUACUUAUCACUUUACCAAGUGCACUGGCAUUGGUACCUGCCUCCUUGGUAAGAUUGAGCUGAAAUCCCCUGGCACAUUUCUAGUUCCACCAUUGGAGUUCAACCUCUUCAUAUAUUGAGAAUAUUUCUGUCCUUUGUGAUACAUGGACUUCUCCUAUUUAGGACAGAUUUUUCAACUUCUUUAGAGUCUUCCUCAUUUGUAUAAUUAAACAGGCAUCCCUGAAACAUGAAAAGGUAGGUUGUCAAUAUGAAGAAAGGACUCCAUACAUUUAAUUCUUCUUGUCAGUUAGGUAUGUGCAUCCAGCAUCACUGGACAACAAUAAAGCAAAAAUAUAUUUUACAAUAAUUCAAAGAACUAGAAAUUUGGGGCGGUUUUUUAAGACUGCUACAAAAGUCAUAGUGGAAUAAGCCUCAGUUUAUGACUCCAGUAUCACAUACCCCAGUGCCAGUCCAAGACCUUGGGGUUCUGCUUCUGAUCUAGGUUUCUGCUCAUGCUCCUGGGAAGGCAGCAGAGGAUGACUCAAGUCUUUGAGCCCCUGCCACUCACAUGCAGGUUUUGUGACAUCAGUGCAGUUUCUGGCUCCUGGCUUCAUAUGUGCCCAGUGUGGCUGAUGUAAGGGUUUGGGGAAUGACCUAGUAGAUGGAAAAUAUCUGUCACUACAUCUUUCCAAUCCCUCACUCUCUGUUGUAAAUUGAUUGUUAUAUCAAAAUUAGACAGAAAAGAAAGAAGGAAAGAAAGAAAAAAGUAAGAAUGUAAGUGGAAAGAAAGGAAGCAUCAUUGUAUCAGGACUGUAAAAAACAUAUUUUAAAUUUACAAGCAUAGAAAUGAUGACAUAAAACAUUUAGAAUUUAUAGCUUGUCCUAAAUAAUCACUCUGUGGAAUCUUUAAUGUUCAUGUUGUCAUAAACACACUGCUUAUUAUUAAAAAAAUUUUUGUAAAACUAUCAAUUUUCUGAAUAAUCCAUGUCAGCUAAGCAAAUUUUUAAAUUUUAUUUGCAAAUGAUUAUUUAUUUUUCAUCUACUCGAAAGACAGAGUGAUUGGGGGUUGGGAGGAAGAGAGAAAAAAUGAGAUCUUGCAACUUCUGAUUCACUUCCCAAAUGCCUGCCAUAGCCAAGGUUGGGCCAGAAGGAAACCAGGAGCCAGUUCUCCAGUGGACUCCCAUGUUGGUGGCCACACCCAGACAUUUUAUCUAUCAUCAGAUGCUUUCCAGAGUGCAAUAACAGAAAGCUAGAUCAGAAGCAGAGCAGCCAGGACUCAAACUGUCACCCUGGUAUGUGUUAUGGGCUUACAAAUUGUGGCUUAAUGCACUGUAUCACAAUACCUGCUCAAGAUGUAUUUUUUAUGGAAGCCCAGUAUCAACAUGUUUAAAUCCUGCUGCAUUUCCUGAUGGUAAUGUAUAUGUAAUAUUCUUUCAAGGAAGCAUUUUUUUCUGUUUAAGUUUUUAUACAAUAUUUCAUUAUGCUUCAAGUUAGAUGACUAAUUGUGAUAGAAUGUGUAAAAUUUAUCAUUUAAAACUGGUAACGAUGUAAGAGAGCUUACAGAAUAAAAUUGAUUAGGUUUGGAAAAUCAUGCCCCUGUAUGACUUCAUGCCCCUACCUGGCCACACCUGUGUGCCACCGGCCAAUCAGAAUAAUUAAUCACUCCCCUUUGGAAGUGGAUUAAAAGCCUGAAACAGGUGGGCCUCCCCUUUUGCCCUUUGCCCUUUGCCCUUUUUCUUCUUCCUUGCUGCCCUGAAUCCCCUUGCUGCCCUGUGCCUUCAGGGCACGGGACCUUCGGGGCCACCUGCUCCAUGCUUCCUGGCCAGCAUGCUCUUCCACGUGGCUGGCUCCUACCUGGAUUCCCCUCUCUUUUAGAUAGGGCCCUCACUCUCCUAUGCAUGUCUCUCACUGAAUAAAAAGCUUAAAAACUUAUCAUGCUGCCUGGAUUAUUUGUACCAGUAUUCAGAAUUCUUCUCUGAAUAUGAGGCAAGAAUCCACACAGCUUUUAAUCUUGAAUUAUUAAUAAGCAAGCCAGUAGCAGUAAGAGACAUUUUAUAAGGCACAUUCUAUAUGGGAGAUAAUUGAUUGUAUCUUGUAUUUUUGUGGGGAAUGUGAGGUUGCAAUAAAUAUAAAUGUUUUGAAUUAAGUAAAAUAUUUCCUAUUUUACAGAUGGAUUUACUAUAGGAAAAAUUCUUAAGGUACUGUUUGUGAAAAUGACUCUACUUACCUGAUUAAUUGGCUAAUUCUUGUUCUCAAGUAAGGCACUUAAUGGUGCUUAAUCUUUAAAUGUCAGAAUUUAUGGAAUUAAUUAACUGAAAUCAUUAUAGCACUUUAACAUUACAUAUUACUUUCCCAAAUGAUUAUCUCAUUGACCUUAUUUGAUGUGAUAUAAUAACCUUGCUCUUGAAAUAAAAUUGCAAUCUUCAUAAGAGAGAAUUUUGAGAAUUUUUUUAUUAUCUCACUAUAAAAAUUGAGGAUAUUGGCAAAUAAAUCUGAAGAAACAAAACAUGAUAGGUAUUUUUAUACUGAUUAGGAAUCAUAAAACAAAGUAUUUUAAUUAUUGAUUAUAAGUUUUGUCUCAUUAAGACCAUGAACUGUAUGAUAGAUUUCAUGGGUAUCUUGCUCAUGUUCUGUCAUUCUGCAUCAGACUAACUGCCAGUCUUUGCGUUUUCUCCCUGAGGGUGUUCUCUGCUCUCUGGACACUGCUGUGUCCAUACCACACAAAGUGCCAUUGAACUAACACAACCCUGGGAGAAGCUUUCAACCAGUGAUGGAUGGGAGCUGAUGUGAAUAGACCCCAGGCACUGCCUCCAGGGAAUCCUUUGUCAAGGAAAACAGGGUAAGCAGAAGGAAAAACAACAGGAAGAAUGGACGCCAUACACUCAGAAGCUCAGUCUGAAUGCGAACUGGAUUCUCAGUUCUUUGCUGAGAUUUCCACCUGGCUUCUCAGGGCUUUAGUGUUCCUGAAAUCCACAUGUAUGGGGCAAGCAUUCUGCAGAUAUCAAUAUGUAAGUAAAGCCCAUGAGGGCAAUAGGGUCUGGGGAAAAGGUGCCAGUGCAGUAGCUAUGGGUGGUUUUAAUGCUGAAUGCACUUGAUUAUACCUACAGUAUCUGCUUAAAGCCAAUUUUUCUAUAUUUUAGUUGCACAUAAUAUUGGAGUGGACUGUACAUAGUCCACUCUUUACCUUGAUAGAUAACUUAAUAAAAGGCAUCUCAGUUACACUAAUUCAGAAGUUUAUUCUUUUUAUGACUAACAACAAUUUUGAUGAAAUAUGUCAAGAGGAAAUUACUGGACAAAAUUAUCUAAAUUUUCUCUAAAAAUUUAGGAGUAUUAUUAUGUUAUUGAUUUUGUCAGGAUCUCCAUGCAGCAGAAAUAUAUGCUGACAAAAAUAUGUGAAUGAUACUUUUUUUUUUUUUUUUUGACAG